GACGAACGCUGGCGGCGUGCUUAACACAUGCAAGUCGAACGGAAAGGCCCCUUUGGGGGUACUCGAGUGGCGAACGGGUGAGUAACACGUGAGUAACCUGCCCUUGACUUCGGGAUAACUUCAGGAAACUGGGGCUAAUACCGGAUAGGAAUCCUUGCUGCAUGGUGGGGGUUGGAAAGCUUCGGCGGUUUUGGAUGGACUCGCGGCUUAUCAGCUUGUUGGUGGGGUAGUGGCUUACCAAGGCUUUGACGGGUAGCCGGCCUGAGAGGGCGACCGGCCACAUUGGGACUGAGAUACGGCCCAGACUCCUACGGGAGGCAGCAGUGGGAAUAUUGCACAAUGGGCGGAAGCCUGAUGCAGCAACGCCGCGUGCGGGAUGACGGCCUUCGGGUUGUAAACCGCUUUCAGCAGGGGCGAAGCUUGUGGUGACGGUACCUGCAGAAGAAGCACCGGCUAACUACGUG
rnacentral:rRNA from 1 species